GCCUCUUUCCACUUUCUUCUUUUGCUCAUGGGUUCCUGAACACCAUGAUGGAAAUCCGAGGGUUCGUUGGCCUUUCCAUCCAUCUGUCCUUGGGCAGAGGCUGGAGUUCGAGAGAGCCUGUUGUGCAUGGGACACGAUGCUUCGGAUCUCUGAGUCCCCAGCAUGGGUCCUCUUCUCCCAGAUGGAUGGAGAAUUCACUACCUCUUCAGAUGCCCCUUCCCAGAUGAGCUGCUUCUGCUCUCUGGCUCUGAACAGCCAGUUGAGAGCGCGCAAGAGAAUGCAAAUAGAGAGAGAG